CCUACGGGCUGCACCAGUGGGGAAUAUUGCACAAUGGGCGCAAGCCUGAUGCAGCCAUGCCGCGUGUAUGAAGAAGGCCUUCGGGUUGUAAAGUACUUUCAGCGGGGAGGAAGGCGGUGAGGUUAAUAACCUCAUCGAUUGACGUUACCCGCAGAAGAAGCACCGGCUAACUCCGUGCCAGCGGCCGCGGUGAUACGGAGGGUGCAAGCGUUAAUCGGAAUUACUGGGCGUAAAGCGCACGCAGGCGGUCUGUCAAGUCGGAUGUGAAAUCCCCGGGCUCAACCUGGGAACUGCAUUCGAAACUGGCAGGCUAGAGUCUUGUAGAGGGGGGUAGAAUUCCAGGUGUAGCGGUGAAAUGCGUAGAGAUCUGGAGGAAUACCGGUGGCGAAGGGGCCCCCUGGACAAAGACUGACGCUCAGGUGCGAAAGCGUGGGGAGCAAACAGGAUUAGAUACCCGUGUAGUC
rnacentral:rRNA from 1 species